rnacentral:rRNA from 1 species
UACGAAGGGGGCUAGCGUUGCUCGGAUUGACUGGGCGUAAAGGGCGCGUAGGCGGUUCGUACAGUCAGACGUGAAAUUCCUGGGCUCAACCUGGGGGCUGCGUUUGAUACGUGCGGACUUGAGUGCGGAAGAGGGUCGUGGAAUUCCCAGUGUAGAGGUGAAAUUCGUAGAUAUUAGGAAGAACACCGGUGGCGAAGGCGGCCCACUGGAUCGGUACUGACGCUGAGGUGCGAAAGCGUGGGGAGCAAACAGG